UACGUAGGCAGCGAGCGUUGUUCGGAGUUACUGGGCGUAAAGGGUGUGUAGGCGGUUGUUUUAAGUUUGGUGUGAAAUCUCCCGGCUCAACUGGGAGGGUGCGCCGAAUACUGAAUGACUAGAGUGCGGGAGAGGAAAGUGGAAUUCCUGGUGUAGCGGUGAAAUGCGUAGAUAUCAGGAGGAACACCGGUGGUGUAGACGGCUUUCUGGACCGUAACUGACGCUGAGGAGCGAAAGCGUGGGGAGCGAACAGG
rnacentral:rRNA from 1 species